GAUGAACGCUGGCGGCGUGCUUAACACAUGCAAGUCGAACGAAGCACUUUAGUUGAUUUCUUCGGGAUGAUUCUAAAGUGACUUAGUGGCGGACGGGUGAGUAACGCGUGGGUAACCUGCCUCGUACAGGGGGAUAACAGUUAGAAAUGACUGCUAAUACCGCAUAACCCGUUAAGGUCGCAUGACCUGGACGGAAAAGAUUUAUCGGUACGAGAUGGACCCGCGUCUGAUUAGCUAGUUGGUGAGGUAACGGCCCACCAAGGCGACGAUCAGUAGCCGGACUGAGAGGUUGAACGGCCACAUUGGGACUGAGAUACGGCCCAGACUCCUACGGGAGGCAGCAGUGGGGAAUAUUGGGCAAUGGGCGCAAGCCUGACCCAGCAAUGCCGCGUGAAGGAAGAAGGCUUUCGGGUUGUAAACUUCUUUUGUCAGGGACGAGUAGAAGACGGUACCUGACGAAUAAGCCACGGCUAACUACGUG
rnacentral:rRNA from 1 species